GCCUGGGUGGCUCAGUCGGUUGAGCGUCCAACUUCGACUCAGGUCAUGAUCUCACAGUGUGUGGGUUUGAGCCCCACAUCAGGCU
rfam:Felis catus isolate Cinnamon breed Abyssinian chromosome B2, whole genome shotgun sequence.